rnacentral:rRNA from 1 species
AACGCGAAGAACCUUACCUACCCUUGACAUGCCAGGGAGCCCGAUGAGAGUUGGGUGUGCCCGAAAGGGAGCCUGGACACAGGUGCUGCAUGGCUGUCGUCAGCUCGUGUCGUGAGAUGUUGGGUUAAGUCCCGCAACGAGCGCAACCCUUGUCACUAGUUGCUACGCAAGGGCACUCUAGUGAGACUGCCGGUGACAAACCGGAGGAAGGUGGGGAUGACGUCAAGUCCUCAUGGCCCUUAUGGGUAGGGCUUCACACGUCAUACAAUGGCGCAUACAAAGGGCUGCCAACCCGCGAGGGGGAGCCAAUCCCAGAAAGUGCGUCGUAGUCCGGAUUGCAGUCUGCAACUCGACUGCAUGAAGUCGGAAUCGCUAGUAAUCGCGGAUCAGCAAUGUCGCGGUGAAUACGUUCCCGGGCCUUGUA